AACGAACGCUGGCGGCAGGCUUAACACAUGCAAGUCGAACGCCCCGCAAGGGGAGUGGCAGACGGGUGAGUAACACGUGGGAAUAUGCCCAAAGGUACGGAAUAUUCCCGGGAAACUGGGAGCAAUACCGUAUGUGCCCGAAAGGGGAAAGAUUUAUCGCCUUUGGAUUGGCCCGCGUCGGAUUAGCUAGUUGGUGGGGUAAUGGCCUACCAAGGCGACGAUCCGUAGCUGGUUUGAGAGAACGACCAGCCACACUGGGACUGAGACACGGCCCAGACUCCUACGGGAGGCAGCAGUGGGGAAUCUUGGACAAUGGGCGCAAGCCUGAUCCAGCCAUGCCGCGUGGAUGAUGAAGGCCCUAGGGUUGUAAAAUCCUUUCGUUGGGGACGAUAAUGACGGUACCCAAAGAAGAAGCUCCGGCUAACUUCGUGCCAGCAGCCGCCGUAAGAC
rnacentral:rRNA from 1 species